rnacentral:misc_RNA from 1 species
UGGCUCUCGCAUCGAUGAAGAACGCAGCGAAAUGCGAUAAGUAAUGUGAAUUGCAGAAUUCAGUGAAUCAUCGAAUCUUUGAACGCACCUUGCGCCUCUUGGUAUUCCGAGAGGCAUGCCUGUUUGAGUGUCAUGAAACAUCAAUUCACAAGAGUUUUCUCUCGUGGACUUGGACCUGGGCGCUGCCUCACAAGGCUCGCCUCAAAUGACUCAGUGGGAAUCUCUUGACCUACGCCUGACGUGAUAAGUUUCGUCUCGGCCGGUCUCGGAGCCCGCUCACAACACCCCAUACUUUUACCAUUGACCUCAAAUCAGGUAGGGCUACCCGCUGA